UACAGAGGGGGCAAGCGUUGUUCGGAAUUACUGGGCGUAAAGGGCGCGUAGGCGGCCUUCUAAGUCAGACGUGAAAUCCCUCGGCUCAACCGGGGAACUGCGUCUGAGACUGGAAGGCUUGAAUCCGGGAGAGGGAUGUGGAAUUCCAGGUGUAGCGGUGAAAUGCGUAGAUAUCUGGAGGAACACCGGUGGCGAAGGCGGCAUCCUGGACCGAGAUUGACGCUGAGGCGCGAAAGCCAGGGGAGCAAACGGG
rnacentral:rRNA from 1 species